UAAAAGAGGAAAAGACACGCUGCUAACCUAUGUUAUAGCUGAGAUAGUUAUUCUCCCAGUCUUUGAAGUAGA
rnacentral:tRNA from 1 species